AAUCCAUGUUGCGAGCACAUUCUCACGGGCUCCUUGAACCUUUCCCACACCUCAAAUAAAGACUGCAAUUCUGACUGUACAAAGGACUAGAUCUCAUUCCUAAGCUU